GUGGGGAAUAUUGGACAAUGGGCGAAAGCCUGAUCCAGCCAUGCCGCGUGUGUGAAGAAGGUCUUCGGAUUGUAAAGCUCUUUAGCCGAUGAUUAUAAUGACUGUAGUCGGAAAAUAAGCCCCGGCUAACUUCGUGCCAGCAGCCGCGGUAAUACGAAGGGGGCGAGCGUUAUUCGGAAUCACUGGGCGUAAAGCGUGCGUAGGCGGCUUUGCAAGUUGGGAGUGAAAGCCCAGGGCUCAACCCUGGAAUUGCUCUCAAAACUGCAAGGCUCGAAUUCGGGAGAGGAUAGCGGAAUUGUCAGUGUAGCAGUGAAAUGCGUAGAUAUUGACAGGAACACCAGUGGCGUAAGCGGCUAUCUGGACCGAUAUUGACGCUGAGGCACGAAAGCGUGGGGAUCAAACAGGAUUAGAUACCCCUGUAGUCC
rnacentral:rRNA from 1 species